AGUGAACGCUGGCGGUAGGCCUAACACAUGCAAGUCGAACGGCAGCACAGUAAGAGCUUGCUCUUACGGGUGGCGAGUGGCGGACGGGUGAGGAAUACAUCGGAAUCUACUUUUUCGUGGGGGAUAACGUAGGGAAACUUACGCUAAUACCGCAUACGACCUACGGGUGAAAGCAGGGGAUCUUCGGACCUUGCGCGAUUGAAUGAGCCGAUGUCGGAUUAGCUAGUUGGCGGGGUAAGGGCCAACCAGGGCAACGAUCCGUAGCUGGUCUGAGAGGAUGAUCAGCCACACUGGAACUGAGACACGGCCAGACUCCUACGGGAGGCAGCAGUGGGGAAUAUUGGACAAUGGGCGCAAGCCUGAUCCAGCCAUACCGCGUGGGUGAAGAAGGCCUUCGGGUUGUAAAGCCCUUUUGUUGGGAAAGAAAAGCAGCAGGUUAAUACCCCGCUGUUCUGACGGUACCCAAAGAAUAAGCACCGGCUAACUUCGUG
rnacentral:rRNA from 1 species